AAGGCCUUAGCUUAAUUAAAGUGUCUGUUUUGCAUGCAGAAGAUGUGGGUUAGUAUCCCGCAGGCCUUA
rnacentral:tRNA from 1 species